rnacentral:lncRNA from 1 species
UGGCGGGUAGGGUUGCUGCACGUGGCCUCGUGGGAAGCAUGCGGCUAAUGUGCGCCGAGUGCACGAGACAAUUUACUUUGAGGGCCUACAAGUACCUAGCCUUGGAGGAUGUUGUUUGAGGGUGCGGAACAGAGGGGUUCGAAGCCACUCCAAGUAUGUGUAGCACUUUGCAGGCUGCACUCCACAAGGUGUCUUCCUAAAGCUGCUGGAUGGAAGCGGUAGCUGACGUUUGUGCCGGGGACUCAGGCCUUUGGAACACGCACGGGUCUGUGGGACAGUGUGGACCCAGAACGACUAGGUGUGCAGAGAGAUGCGCGAAGGGACAGCGGCCCUGAGGCCUUGCGGUUCUUUGGAGUCUCUGGACAAGAACCCCCUCCCCUCCUGUCUGCUGGUCCCUCCACCCGAAGAAGUCUGCCUAUGGCCAAAUAGCAUCCAUUAGACGGUAGUUAUUCUCUUCUCCCCUCCUCUACUCCCCUCCUCUGUCUGAUGGUCAAUUUUAUCGUUUCUAGUGAAUUCUCUAAUAACAUUUGCUUGUUCAGGGGUCUGUGAUGUUUUGAACAACGGCAGGGCUGUGGAAUUCUGACGACUAGUUGGGAUUAUCACAACAUGGGGAAGGAGUGGCUGAGGACCUAAGGGGUCUGUAAGCCCCACGGGCCGGGUUACAAAGCCUUCCUUGCUUCACUGAACAUAGGAUAGUCACUGGCUGUGAGGUACAAGAGUUACCCAGCAGCCACACCCCAGGACCUGCCUACCUGAUCUGAAUGAGAGGGAGCUACAUGGCCCCUCCCUUCUCUGCACCUGCGGAGGUGAAUUCACCCCAUCUUGCUCUCCUAGAGCUGGUCCUGGGUAGCAGUGGGACCUGUGGCCCGAGUGGUACUUGAACCACAGGAAACCUCAUUAUUUAGGUUAAUUAGACAGAGCAGCCCCAGCCUUGGUGGUCCAUUGCUGACUGUGGAGCUGGGACGGCAUACUGCCAAAAGGAGUUUAGCAGGCUCCAUUCUGGGGCUUGGGGCUUGGGAGUAGCUCUGGCCAGGAGUGCUGGGAGUUACCUUAAGUUCUAGCAGUUUCCUCAGCACUGUCCUGGAAGAGGAGCUGAGUGGGGGCUCCCCCAUCCACAGACCUUCCCCUCCCACAUGGUCAUCCACAGACCAAGCCUCCUAGCUUGGCAGCUUUAUACAAGUUGCUUUCCCACUCGGAGCCUGGAUCCAGGAUCGUGGACUGUGGGGCUUGUGUGUGAGCUUGCCUUUAAACAGCAUUUUUGUAAGCCUGACUUGACAAGAGCUCCCAUAGCAGGAUAAAAUGAAGAUGCGACAAGUUCAUGGUGCGAGAGAGAAGCCUGAUCCAAUCUGCUGACAUCCUGGGAAUCAUCAAGGCAACGUCAGGACGUGUCCUGGA